rnacentral:piRNA from 1 species
UUCUUCAUGCUAUUCCAGUUGAGCCUCCUGC